UACGUAGGUGGCGAGCGUUGUCCGGAUUUACUGGGCGUAAAGGGAGCGUAGGCGGACUUUUAAGUGAGAUGUGAAAUACCCAGGCUCAACCUGGGGGCUGCAUUUCAAACUGGAAGUCUAGAGUGCAGGAGAGGAGAGUGGAAUUCCUAGUGUAGCGGUGAAAUGCGUAGAGAUUAGGAAGAACACCAGUGGCGAAGGCGACUCUCUGGACUGUAACUGACGCUGAGGCUCGAAAGCGUGGGGAGCAAACAGG
rnacentral:rRNA from 1 species